rnacentral:rRNA from 1 species
CCGAAGUUAAGCGUGCUUGGGCGAGAAUAGUACUAGGAUGGGUGACCUCCUGGGAAGUCCUCGUGUUGCACCCCUGGG